GUGCUUCAAAAGGCUAACUUCAAGAGAAUUUCAUGGGGAAUCUAGAGGUGAUCUCAGAAACGCGAGGGGAGGCUUCGUUUGAGUGGGGAAGCAUUUGGAGACCAUUUGGAGGGGAAAAGAUCCGGUACCGUGAGUUGGAGCACGCGUGGUCGGCUUUCAGGUCCGAGCACUAGUAGCCAGCGUUGAUCGAGCUUGGAGUAGACUUAUCCGGAGACGGGGGUGAGCACACGGCGUUUUGUACUAUUUCAGUCUCCAUCUGUAUAUAUAGACUUGUCUUUUUCCUUUCGAGACAGUCUAGUCUCUGUUGUCCAGUUUUGGGACUUGUACUCAUUUUGUAGUAGCUCUGUACUGGUGAAUUCCAGGUUCUGGGAGGGAUCUUUAUUUGUAUAUAUGUUUUGGGUUGCUUCCGCCUGUUUAUAUUGUUAUUUGCCUACUCUUGUUUAAUUUCUACCCUCAGACCCAUUACUUGUUGUUUCGGGUUACGGGUUGGCUUACCUGCUGGUGG